rnacentral:rRNA from 1 species
CCUACGGGUGGCUGCAGUGGGGAAUAUUGGACAAUGGGCGAAAGCCUGAUCCAGCCAUGCCGCGUGUGUGAAGAAGGCCUUCGGGUUGUAAAGCACUUUCAGUGGGGAAGAAAGCCUUGGGGCUAAUACCCUCGAGGAAGGACAUCACCCACAGAAGAAGCACCGGCUAACUCCGUGCCAGCAGCCGCGGUAAUACGGAGGGUGCGAGCGUUAAUCGGAAUUACUGGGCGUAAAGCGCGCGUAGGCGGUCUGAUAAGCCGGUUGUGAAAGCCCCGGGCUCAACCUGGGAACGGCGUCCGGAACUGUCAGGCUAGAGUGCAGGAGAGGAAGGUAGAAUUCCCGGUGUAGCGGUGAAAUGCGUAGAGAUCGGGAGGAAUACCAGUGGCGAAGGCGGCCUUCUGGACUGACACUGACGCUGAGGUGCGAAAGCGUGGGUAGCAAACAGGAUUAGAUACCCCAGUAGUC